UACAGAGGUCCCAAGCGUUGUUCGGAUUCACUGGGCGUAAAGAGUGCGUAGGCGGUUUUCUAAGUUUGGUGUGAAAUCUCCCGGCUUAACUGGGAGGGUGCGCCGAAGACUGGAAGGCUUGAGUAUGGGAGAGGUAAGCGGAAUUCCUGGUGUAGCGGUGAAAUGCGUAGAUAUCAGGAGGAACACCUGCGGUGUAGACGGCUUACUGGACCAUAACUGACGCUGAGGCACGAAAGCGUGGGUAGCAAACAGG
rnacentral:rRNA from 1 species